AGCCCCACUGUCGCAAGAAUGGACAAGGAAAAGGGGAAGGAGAGGAGGAGGAGAAGGAGAAAGAGAGGAAUUUGGUUUCCAUUAUGAAGGCUAAGCCGCCUGCCCCUGGAAGCAGAAGGGGAAGGGCAAGGGCUGUGUCGCUGCCAAGGAAGCGGGCCAAGGAUUACGGCAAUGUCCCGCUCGCCGAGUUGUUAUUAUGGGUAAAAAAAAGCUCCACCGCCUUGACGUCUUGCUGACCCCGCCGACGCCAGCGGGCGUGCCACGAUCGCCCCUGCCAACGGCUUCGCAAACGACUCCGAGAGGGAGACUGCAUCUUCACCGGCAAUGGAGCAUGAUAAGCAAGCAGAGAAGGAUUAUGAAGAGGAGGAAGAGAAUGAGGAGGAAGAGGAUGAGUAAGAUACUUUGUUUGAGGAGAAAGAUUCUCAUUUUGAUGUCAAAGCACUAAGUGUUAUGCUAUGCAAAAUUGCAUUGUUUGGAUGUCAACGUUCAAUAUUUUUUGCCGUAUAAAGUUCAAAGGAGGAGCUGUCCAAAAUUCAAAAGCAA